rnacentral:rRNA from 1 species
GAGUCGUGGGGGAUAACGUAGAGAAUUACGCUAAUACCGCAUACGAUCUAAGGAUGAAAGCGGGGGAUUCGCAAGAACCUCGCGCGAUUGGAGCGGCUGAUAUCAGAUUAGGUUGUUAGGUGAGGUAAAAGCUCACCAAGCCGACGAUCUGUAGCUGGUUUGAGAGAACGACCAGCCACACUGGGACUGAGACACGGCCCAGACUCCUACGGGAGGCAGCAGUGGGGAAUUUUGGACAAUGGGCGAAAGCCUGAUCCAGCAAUGCCGCGUGCAGGAAGAAGGCCUUCGGGUUGUAAACUGCUUUUGUACGGAACGAAACGGUGAGCUCUAAUACAGUUUGCUAAUGACGGUACCGUAAGAAUAAGCACCGGCUAACUACGUG